AUUGAUACGCACGUUUCGCACGUCUUGUUUAUUUCUCGCUCAGUGAUCUCACGAUUUAAAGUUGAUUCGCACACGGUAUAAAAACAACGAUGCCGGGAUCAAAUGAUCAAAAUAACAGUACAGAGAAACCGAAAUUGAAGGCGUGUUGUGCAUGUCCCGAGACAAAAAAAGCCAGAGAUGCUUGCAUUAUGGAGAAAGGAGAGAGUGAAUGCAGUGACCUCAUUGAGGCACAUAAAGACUGUAUGAGAAAAUUAGGAUUUAAUAUUUGACAUUGACGUCAUAGGAUGAAUAUAAUCUGUAAAUAAUUUAAAUUAACCGAGUGAGUGAUCCAGUCUUAGAUUUCCUAUACUGUGAGGUGAUAGUAUAACAUGGUUUAUGCAGUACUACACAGAUGACUUGGUGGCUGAAGAUGUGACUGAACACUGACUAGAUCUACUAAAAACUGACUAUAGUUCCUAAAAGUUUCUGACAGUCAGUUUUUUUUUUACUUUUUCAAAAAUUUGUUUUAUACCAACAGUACAGUAGGCAUACUAUAGUUUUAUUAAUUUAUACCAUAUUGCUUUGUCAAUGUUGUAAAUUAUGUUUGUGUUGAUUAAUAGCAUUAUACAAUGCAGUUGACCAUGUUUAUUUUUCUGAUUGUGAUUUAAUGACUAUAUGCAAUAAAAUGUAAUUGUUACAAGUUUUCUGUGCCAGUUAGUUACAAAGUGAUUAAACCAGAGGGUGACCAUUGAACAAUUAAGGGAGAAUUUAAAACAUUAAAAAAAAAAACAGACAGGAAAAAAGUGCAUGAAACAUAAUAAAAUCUUGUUCACUAUUCAAAGCAUAGUUUUAAUAUCAUUUUUUAGUUCUUAGUGAAAGGCCCAUUGGACCCUGUCUUCAAUGUUGUAAUUUACAUAAGUGUGCAUAUUGAUUGGCAUUCCCUUCAUCUUUAUAAAUAUUUAUGAAUUUAAAUGGCACUUGAAUUUAAUCAACGAGUUCCAUUAACAAAUAGCAACCUCUAAUGUUAUCUUGAAUUGUAAAAUUGAUAAAGAAAAUGCUUGACAAUACAUUGAAUAUCAGUUAUAAAGAAGUUUAUUUUUCUUUCAUUAAUAAUUAAAGUGGGGGAGUUGUCACGUGCGCAUGCGUCAGAUGGCCGUAGCGUGACAUUGUAUACAAACAAACGUUUACCCAUGAGCCUUUGCAUUAUUAGCGCAUGUUAUAUCUGCUUGGGACUUGAUUCCCGUGCGUGCGCAGCUGACAACCCUAUCGCUUUAAUAUAUAAUAUUGGAUAACAUUAUCGGUGGCGCCAUCCUUAAAUUAGAAAUAUACCACUUUGAUCUAUCUGAGCUAUGUGCUGCUUAUAGAACAAAUGCAGUAUUGAAAUGUUGAUCAGUUAUAAAGUGUUUAUUGCUGCUGCAUUAGAAAUGAAAUAAUUAGAGAUUCUCUGGCACCACACUUAAAUUCUGAAUUCAGGUAUACAGAUAUGCUUAUAUUUGCAUGUAAUCAGUGUUGCUCCAGGUAAACUACUAAGGUAGUGCAAAUAUAAUUAAAUUAAUGGUGGUUGCGAUUUUGGCUAUUCUACUAGUUGGAGACAAACAAAUACUUGAAUACAUAGAAAGUAUUUUGGUAUGUAUCCUUUUAAUAACGUUUAGUUGUAAGAACUGGUACAUCGAUACGUUUUUAUUACAACACAUUUACAUACUUGUGGUUUACAAUGUAUUUUUUAUUGUUUGUUAAAAAUAAAUAUUGAUAAUAAUUCA
rnacentral:lncRNA from 1 species